rnacentral:rRNA from 1 species
CCCCUAGAUGUUCUGGGCCGCACGCGCGCUACACUGAUGCAUUCAACGAGUCUAAAACCUGCUCUGAUAGGGGUGGGUAAUCUUUUGAAUGUGCAUCGUGAUUGGGAUAGAUGAUUGCAAUUUUUCAUCUUCAACGAGGAAUGCCUAGUAAACGCAAGUCAUCAGCUUGCAUUGAUUACGUCCCUGCCCUUUGUACACACCGCCCGUCGCUCCUACCGAUUGAAUGAUCCGAUGAAUAUCAUGGAUUGAGGAUGCAAGUAGGUUAGCCUAUCUUCAUCUUCGAGAAGUGAAGUAAAUCUUAUCAUUUAGAGGAAGGAGAAGUCGUAACA